AGCAGUGGGGAAUUUUCCGCAAUGGGCGAAAGCCUGACGGAGCAAUACCGCGUGAGGGAGGAAGGCUCCUGGGUUGUAAACCUUUUUUUUCAGGGAAGAAAACAAUGACGGUAUCUGAGGAAUCAGCAUCGGCUAACUCUGUGCCAGCAGCCGCGGUAAUACGGAGGAUGCAAGCGUUAUCCGGAAUGAUUGGGCGUAAAGCGUCCGCAGGUGGCUGUGUAAGUCUGCUGUUAAAGAGCGAGGCUCAACCUCAUACGAGCAGUGGAAACUACCCGGCUAGAGUGCGUUAGGGGCAGAGGGAAUUCCCGGUGUAGCGGUGAAAUGCGUAGAUAUCGGGAAGAACACCGGCGGCGAAAGCGCUCUGCU
rnacentral:rRNA from 1 species